CCUACGGGAUGCAGCAGUGGGGAAUAUUGGACAAUGGGCGAAAGCCUGAUCCAGCCAUGCCGCGUGUGUGAAGAAGGCCUUCGGGUUGUAAAGCACUUUCAGUGGGGAAGAAAGCCUUGGGGCUAAUACCCUCGAGGAAGGACAUCACCCACAGAAGAAGCACCGGCUAACUCCGUGCCAGCAGCCGCGGUAAUACGGAGGGUGCGAGCGUUAAUCGGAAUUACUGGGCGUAAAGCGCGCGUAGGCGGUCUGAUAAGCCGGUUGUGAAAGCCCCGGGCUCAACCUGGGAACGGCAUCCGGAACUGUCAGGCUAGAGUGCAGGAGAGGAAGGUAGAAUUCCCGGUGUAGCGGUGAAAUGCGUAGAGAUCGGGAGGAAUACCAGUGGCGAAGGCGGCCUUCUGGACUGACACUGACGCUGAGGUGCGAAAGCGUGGGUAGCAAACAGGAUUAGAUACCCCUGUAGUC
rnacentral:rRNA from 1 species